GGAAUAUUGGACAAUGGGGGCAACCCUGAUCCAGCCAUCCCGCGUGCAGGAAGACGGCCCUAUGGGUUGUAAACUGCUUUUAGAAGGGAAGAAAAUUAUUGGUUUACCAGUAACUGACGGUACCUUCAGAAUAAGCACCGGCUAACUCCGUGCCAGCAGCCGCGGUAAUACGGAGGGUGCAAGCGUUAUCCGGAAUCACUGGGUUUAAAGGGUGCGUAGGCGGAUAGAUAAGUCAGAGGUGAAAGCUCUGAGCUCAACUGAGGAAUUGCCUUUGAUACUGUUUAUCUUGAAUUGUGUUGAGGUUAGCGGAAUGAGUCGUGUAGCGGUGAAAUGCAUAGAUAUGACUUAGAACACCAAUUGCGAAGGCAGCUAACUGGGCAUAAAUUGACGCUGAGGCACGAAAGCGUGGGGAGCGAAC
rnacentral:rRNA from 1 species